UCCAGAUUUCAAAAUGAAAGCUGCCGUGUGUGCCGUCCUCCUCUUGCUGACUCUACAUCAAGUGUAACUACUGUUACUCUAAGGGAAGUAAUCUCUGCACCACUACCAGCACUCAGACCUGUUCAAGCAGAAUGGCCGCGUGUGCUGCCGUCAUAUUGACGGCCCCACUAAACAGUUCAUUCCGCUCGUGCAUGAACAUGG